rnacentral:rRNA from 1 species
UAUCAGAAGUGCGAAUGCUGACAUGAGUAACGACAAUGCGAGUGAAAAACUCGCACGCCGAAAGACCAAGGGUUCCUGCGCAACGUUAAUCGACGCAGGGUGAGUCGGUCCCUAAGGCGAGGCUGAAAAGCGUAGUCGAUGGGAAACGGGUUAAUAUUCCCGUACUUCUGGUUACUGCGAUGGGGGGACGGAGAAGGCUAGGCCAGCUUGGCGUUGGUUGUCCAAGUUUAAGGCGGUAGACAGGGAUCUUAGGUAAAUCCGGGAUCUCAAUGUCGAGAGCUGAUGACGAGCUUUCUUUUAGAAAGCGAAGUGGUUGAUGCCAUGCUUCCAGGAAAAGCCUCUAAGCUUCAGGUAAUCAGGAACCGUACCCCAAACCGACACAGGUGGUCGGGUAGAGAAUACCAAGGCGCUUGAGAGAACUCGGGUGAAGGAACUAGGCAAAAUGGCACCGUAACUUCGGGAGAAGGUGCGCCGGUGAGGGUGAAUGACUUGCUCAGUAAGCUCAUGCCGGUCGAAGAUACCAGGCCGCUGCGACUGUUUAUUAAAAACACAGCACUCUGCAAACACGAAAGUGGACGUAUAGGGUGUGACGCCUGCCCGGUGCCGGAAGGUUAAUUGAUGGGGUUAGCGCAAGCGAAGCUCUUGAUCGAAGCCCCGGUAAACGGCGGCCGUAACAAUAACGGUCCUAAGGUAGCGAAAUUCCUUGUCGGGUAAGUUCCGACCUGCACGAAUGGCGUAACGAUGGCGGCGCUGUCUCCACCCGAGACUCAGUGAAAUUGAAAUCGCUGUGAAGAUGCAGUGUAUCCGCGGCUAGACGGAAAGACCCCGUGAACCUUUACUGUAGCUUUGCACUGGACUUUGAGCCUGCUUGUGUAGGAUAGGUGGGAGGCUUUGAAGCGUGGACGCCAGUUCGCGUGGAGCCAUCCUUGAAAUACCACCCUGGCAUGCUUGAGGUUCUAACUCUGGUCCGUCAUCCGGAUCGAGGACAGUGUAUGGUGGGCAGUUUGACUGGGGCGGUCUCCUCCUAAAGAGUAACGGAGGAGUACGAAGGUGCGCUCAGACCGGUCGGAAAUCGGUCGCAGAGUAUAAAGGCAAAAGCGCGCUUGACUGCGAGACAGACACGUCGAGCAGGUACGAAAGUAGGUCUUAGUGAUCCGGUGGUUCUGUAUGGAAGGGCCAUCGCUCAACGGAUAAAAGGUACUCCGGGG